rnacentral:rRNA from 1 species
CGGCCUAUCAGCUAGUUGGUGGGGUAAUGGCCUACCAAGGCGACGACGGGUAGCCGGCCUGAGAGGGCGACCGGCCACACUGGGACUGAGACACGGCCCAGACUCCUACGGGAGGCAGCAGUGGGGAAUAUUGCACAAUGGGCGAAAGCCUGAUGCAGCGACGCCGCGUGAGGGAUGACGGCCUUCGGGUUGUAAACCUCUUUCAGCAGGGAAGAAGCGAAAGUGACGGUACCUGCAGAAGAAGCGCCGGCUAACUACGUGCCAGCAGCCGCGGUAAUACGUAGGGCGCAAGCGUUGUCCGGAAUUAUUGGGCGUAAAGAGCUCGUAGGCGGCUUGUCACGUCGGAUGUGAAAGCCCGGGGCUUAACCCCGGGUCUGCAUUCGAUACGGGCAGGCUAGAGUGUGGUAGGGGAGAUCGGAAUUCCUGGUGUAGCGGUGAAAUGCGCAGAUAUCAGGAGGAACACCGGUGGCGAAGGCGGAUCUCUGGGCCAUUACUGACGCUGAGGAGCGAAAGCGUGGGGAGCGAACAGGAUUAGAUACCCUGGUAGUCCACGCCGUAAACGUUGGGAACUAGGUGUUGGCGACAUUCCACGUCGUCGGUG